rnacentral:rRNA from 1 species
UACGUAGGGUGCAAGCGUUAAUCGGAAUUACUGGGCGUAAAGCGUGCGCAGGCGGUUUUUUAAGACAGGCGUGAAAUCCCCGGGCUCAACCUGGGAACUGCGCUUGUGACUGGAAGGCUAGAGUACGGCAGAGGGGGGUGGAAUUCCACGUGUAGCAGUGAAAUGCGUAGAGAUGUGGAGGAACACCAAUGGCGAAGGCAGCCCCCUGGGUCGAUACUGACGCUCAUGCACGAAAGCGUGGGUAGCAAACAGG